UUACUGCUGGUAGAUAGAUACUUAGUAAUGAUACAUAGUGUUAUAAGAAGUUUUUGAUCAAUUAUGUACAAUGUUAUUAGGAAGCAAGGUAGAUAGCCAGAGAUACAUCUUGUGAGGCGACGAACAUUACAUGGAGUCAUCAUUGCACGUUUCAUGAAUAUUGAAAACGGCUUUGUUGUCCAGGCUACCUUUAUUAGUGCUAAAGCCCGGGUUUGUUCAAAACAGCAACAGUGUAGCAGUCUUCACUUGUCCUUGCGGCUGGUGGUUUUAGUAGGCACGGCAAAGGUUGCGAGGGCCAAUUUAGCGAGCUUCUAUAUACAAACAAAGCUGAUGCAAAAGACGGGAUAGCUCAUAAGGCAAGAGAUCGACAUGGCAUUGACAAGUUUAUAAGAGUUAAAUUGCCAUUGUAAUAAAGCCCAUUAUAUAGUGUAUCAGUUGCAUGGAUAGGAAGAGAUAAACCAGUGAAGGAAUUUAAAAGGAUCUAACAGCAUUUAUGAGUUUUUAUCAUUUUAAAGACAACAAGGCUAUAAAGCAUGGCAAUGUUAAAAUAACCAAAAGAAAGGCAUGAACAAAUCAGUGAAGAGACUAUAAGCUGCAGGAAUAGACGUACCACACAUGCAUGCUUAUCUGAAAACUUGGAUCAGCCACUACUUUAGCGUUUUUGAUGAAAUGAUCUCUGCAGCAGCAGCAGCAGCACCCCUAAAAUUUCACAAGGAUUACAUGAAAAAGACAUACUUGUGGUCUAUAUGAACAGAAACAGAAAUCCAACAAAGUCAAAUAAAGAAACAGAAGCAUGAAACUCUAAUUUCUAUAGGAAAAUAAGCUUUAUUGUACGUGGGUUUCGUAGCGCUUAAUUUUGUACGAUCCAUGUGCCGACUGCCAGUUUGGAUAUGUAGUUAGCAGUGUAUUAUGCUUAAUUGUUGGAUUUUCAGACCCGAUGGCCAGACUGUCAGCUGACGAUAUUCAGACCCGAUGGCCAGACUGUCGUUGCGAUGCAGCAGAACUGAGAAGCUCUCCUCAGCAGCAUACCCAUCUAGCAGUAACUUCAGCUUGAUAAGGAAACAUAACAUAGAAGAUGCCCUGAAGAAGAGGAACUACAGUUACUAUAUUAUGACACACAGAUUUUAGAAGCAUCGAGUACAGGAACGCUAGGUUAGGGGGCGGCAUUGGCUGCGCACGAAAAUUAUGAAUAGGCGGGUCUGCGGUGGAUGAGCGUGUGCAAGUGAGGGCACUCCAAAUAAGCUGUGUAGCGAACAGCCGAUGCAGCAACAACAACCGCAGCAUUCCCACAAUUCCUAUAGACAACAACACACUCAUAGUUGUAAUCUCUAACUACAAAGCCAUACAAGCCCUGCAGAAAUUUGAUUGCCCGAAGGGCAGCUUGCUCGUACGUAUCCGCGGAACCCAGACAUGCAGGGCUCCCAAAAAACUCUCUGCGGUAACACUAAAACAUGGCCAUCCCCAUGAACCUCACACAGAUAACCAGGAGGAGGAAGCUCAUAAUGUGCGGCCACAGUCUCCAGAAUCAGCACAAUGAAAGGCACUACAGUAGGCAUCCUGGGAUCCCGGGCAUGCGAAACAAUAUAAAAAUUGUAAGCAGAAAUGCAAUACACACAGUUAGUACGAAGAAGAAGACUGAAACUUAAAGGAGUGCAAGAAAACAAAGAAUGAGGAAGGAAAUCGAACCUUCGCCAAACGCAAGCGAGGAGAUUACAGGAGACAGCAUGCGAGGUUUCAGGUAAACCGGCAAGCGGAACCGAGGAGAUUGGUUGACCCGGCAGCCAAAAUUCGACUGGUAUUAACUAAAAGUUCUUUUCUCCUGAAAGAAAGUGAACUUUCACUCACGUGAAUCCUUACAUGCUUCAGGUUUGCUAAUUUAAUCAGAGCAAAUUGAUGAACUUAUGGUGUAACUGUAUGUAUGUACUGAAUAAAAAGAAAAGCAAAUUAUCGAGCUACUUGCACGUCUAAAAUUGGCAGGAACACAAACAAAGCUUUUUUGGAUUGAAUCUAAGAACAUCUAGCAUGCUAUUAUAUUGGCAGAUAGGCAAAUAAUUUAGACCAUGGCAUGAUUAGGUUCUGACUGAUAUUGAUGUUUUAGUUCAUACCUUGGUAGGUCACGGGAAAAUAUUGACAGCGUAAACUUUAUUCAGACCAUAUAGGUUCAAGUAAAUAUUGUCUAUUCAGAACAGAGGCAUCCAUAUAUGCAUGUCACCUGCAACAAAAUAAGAACGCAACCGGUAGACUCGUCGGAGAUGAAAAUUAAAUCAAAUUUAGUGACAGCGAGGUAAAAAUAAAAUCACACAACCAUAUACUCCCUCCGUUCGGAAAUACUUGUCAUCAAAAUGAAUAAAAGGAGAUGUAUCUAGAUGUAUUUUAGUUCUAGAUACAUCCUUUUUUGUCCAUUUUAAUGACAAAUAUUUUCAGACGGAGGGAGUACUUAACAGGAGACAAUUCUAACCUGGUCAAAUAUCCAACACUACGCCCUU
rnacentral:lncRNA from 1 species